GUGUGUGUGCUGCAGGCUGGUGGCUUCCCAUACCCAACCCUACCCUUCUUUUUUCUCACAGUCGUUACUCCCCAAUGUCAACAAAAAAAGAUGGGAGAAAACAAAGCAGGGAAAUCUCUAGGACUGGAUAAAAAGUAAAACGGAGAGAUAUAUACUUCUUUCACAUUGGUGGGGUACAGGAUAGUUAACAUUUAACAUUUACAGUAAAUAAGAGAUCGUAUGUAGGCGACAAUGAGAAGUUUCAUGGUCUUGUGCCAGGUUGUGCCUCUGAGGAGUCUGGGAAAGUACUCUGAUAUUUCAAAGGUAAGUUAUACUGAAUGCAUAAGAAAAAUGAACAGGACUCACUUAAGGCAAAAGACUGACCUUUGUUGAAGAAGCUACAGGCCUGGGACAUGACUACGUAUUAUGACCCUCCCAGUUAGGAAUCUAUGAUUAGACCAUCCUGUAUGGUUACUUUCAUUCACUGAGCUUGUAAGGCCUGCCACAUGGCCCCUCCUGAGCUUGCCAGGUCUGUAGUCCCUUUACACUCACACCAAUAAGCCCCUUGCUCUGCCACUCCAUCUCGGUCUGCUUUCAGAGAACCCAACUGGCACAUAUAUUAAGGGUAUUCACACUGAUGAAGAAACAAAAACCACAGGGGGAUAAAAAAGACUUCCAGUAAGUAAACCAAAAUGUUAACAAUGCUGGGGCCUCUGUACUAUCCAAGUAUUCCUGAACUAUCAUCUAUUACUUAUAUAUAAUAAAAAAUAUUCAAAGAAGACUUUGUGCUAAAUUUUUCCCCUGAAGAAAUAUUCUUAUGGCAGGCAAAAUUGUUAUAUUUUGUAUACAAUGUGCCGAAAUUCACCAAGGAGUAAUUCAUAACCAAACUGCUGGAGUUCUUAAAAAAAAAGAAAGCAUAUGCCCAAGUACUAAGAAUUAAAAGACCAGGCAGUGGAUUUUAUAGACAUUUCAUAAGCUUAGCUUCCUUGUCUGUUUAAUCAAAAGUUACACUAAUUUAAACUCAAGACUUUUAGGGGAGACUAUGGAGGUAGUUCAGUUCACCCUCCUGUUCUCACACAUGAGACCAAUGCCCCAGCAAGGAUGACAGUAAAAGAACAAUCAUUGGCCUUAUUUCUCAAUACUUGGGUCCAUUUCUCUUUCCAGCUAUACUAGCAAUGCAUCUACAUGUAGAUACCACAUUAAAUACACAAUUUCAAUAAAGCAAAGGCUGGUGGCAAGACACAAGUCCAGGUAUAUCUUAUUCUGAAAUCUAUGCUCUCAUCCCCUGGUUGAACAGGGCCUAUAAACAACACACAUCAAUAGCCACAUGAGGAAAAGGGCUUCCCCCAAGAAGGAAAUGCAUGGAAAGUUUCAAAGACCUGAUUUAAAUUUAUCAUAAUUGUCACACAAUUAUAAAACUAAGAAGUAUGGUACAAUGUACACAGCCAGUGAGACUUUCUAAUCAUGCUUGACUGAAAGAGUAAAAUAAACUGGAAAGGCCAAUUCCUUGAUAUAGCAGAAACUCCUAUGCCAAAGAUAGGAAACAAAACCUUGUGGCAAAUUAGAGAGACACUGCCGUGGUUCCAUUUCCUACUGUUAAGUCAUUGCCAGGAAGUCCCAUGUUUACUAUAGCAACAACUGGACUUGCUACUACUCACCCAGUUUCUGCCUUUUUGCUUCCUCAGGAAGCAGACUCGAAAAUCAGGCUCCUGAUCCCUUUUUUUUAAAAGGAGCUGCCAUUUAAAAAUAGAAAUUAAUAAAUGCAUAUAUUAAAAAUGUUACACUUUGACCAACACCCAAGAUUUCUACAAAUUAAACUCAGUUUUUAAAGCACACAGUCAUAUUAUCCUUUUUAUCUUGCAAUACAGCAUUCUAUAGAAUCUACUAAAACUCUCCAGCUACUAAAGUCUGGGAAUGCUGGAUAAAUGGUAACAUCCUUUAAAAAGCUUAGCUAAGUUCUCAAGGAAGUAGAAAAAGCUGCUAGAGUUGGAAAUAAAAAGUAAACCAAAGGCCAGAGCUAGAAGUAGGUACUGACCUUUGUAUUAUCCCCAGAAGCAUCUGUAAUAAGACAUUUCAGCAACCAACAGGAGUGGAGGAAAGGAGAGAGAAUGCAGGAGAAAAGCAGAAAAGGCUCCUGAGCAAGGUGGGGAGUUGGAUUUAAGAUCUUUUGCGAAGUUGUAGCCCUCAGAAGCCUAUGCUCUCAAUGAAAAUAAACACGGAAAAAAUCCACCUGCAUGAACAAGACCAGAAAGCUUGUCUGACUGUUUAAUCUAUGGUAGGGGAGAAAAGGGCUCCCCAUGAGAAUUUGAAAACACAGACAAAUGCUUCAUAGGAAUUUGAGGUCUAAAUUUACUUACUCUAUCUUAUGAUUUAGUAGCCUCCCCAACAUGAGAAAUUAACAAAACUGGCCCAUGCCAGUGAUACCCCUAGACAUCUCCAACAGAUGAAAAAUGAAGCCACUGGGGAAAGACAAACCCUCAACAUAAAAUGCACAGGAUACAGAAAACAGAACAGCCUCAUAAAAACUAUAAAAUCAAAACCAUAAGGCAGGCAUAAAACACUCAGUAAUUAAUAAACUGGAAAAUGUAUCAGAAAAAAUUAUUCAAAAUGCUGCACAGAGAAAUAAACAUUCCCUGAUUCAGAAAAAUAACUGCAGAACUAAAAGAUAUAAAGUUGACUGUAAAAUUUACAGAGGAAUAUAAAGGACUUAAAAUAUCCAAAACAAUUUUGAUAAAGAAAAAGAAAGUUGGAAGACCAUCUGACGAAGAACAAGACAGAAUGCUAUGGGUAUAAGAACAGACAUAUAAGCCAAGAGAAUAAACUGGGAAGUACAGAAAUAGAACCACACAUAGAGAGUCAACUGAUUUUCUACAGAAAUGCCAAGGCAACUUAAUGGGAACAUAAUAGGCAAUUGAAUAGUGUUAAAACAACUGGAUACCUAUGUGGAAAAAAAUGAACUUGGAACUUUAGCCUAAUGCAUAUACAAACAUUAACUUGAAAAGAUUUUAGAUCAAAUGUAAAAGCUAAAAGCAUAAGAACACAUAAAAGAGAAAACUUUACCAUCUUGACAUAUUGUAUUAAUUUUAUAUUAGUCCAUAACAAAUUAUCAGAGUUGGAGGUCAGAGUCCAGACACAGGAUGGCUAACUUUUCUGCUCAGGGUCUCAAGAGGAUAUACUCAAGGUAUCUGGCUCCUAGAGCUUUGUUCUUAUCUAUCUAGCACUCAGGAUCCUCUUCUAAGUUCAUGUGGUUGUGGCAGAAUUCACUUCCUUGCAGUUGUAGGACUUAAAGGUCCCUGUUUCUUUGCUACUUCCCACCCACCAGCCAUGCUCGGUUGCUGAAGCCAUCUACAAUACUUACCAUAUGGGCUUCAUCAUCUUCAAAGUAAACAAUAACAACAAAAAACCUCCCUCUUGUUGAAUCUUCAUGUUUCAAAUCCUUUUACUUCUUCUGGACUGAGAUUUUAAGAGUUCAUGUGAUUAGGUCAGGCCUAUCUGCAAAAUCUCCCUUUUGCCAUGUAACAUACUAGGCAAUCACUAGAGUAACAUCUUCAUCAUAGCAACAGAAUACCCACACUCCCAGAAAAAAAGUUAUACAAGAGUGUGGAUUAGGUCAUCAAGAGUUGCCUUAGGAUUCUGUCUACCUACAGGCAGACAGACUUCUUAGAUUGAACACAAAAAGCAUGAACUAAUUUU